rfam:Peregrinibacteria bacterium GW2011_GWF2_43_17 TV80_C0011, whole genome shotgun sequence.
AAGUAAAUUGUAAACAAGGCGUAGAGUGAAUGCCUAGACUCGAGAUUCCGAUGAAGGACGCGGCAAGCUGCGAUAAGCCUCGGUGAGUUGCUAAGCAAACAGUGACCCGGGGAUUUCCGAAUGGGGUAACCCAAUCCGAGUAAUGUCGGAUUUUUCUUCCGCUUUGCGGAAGAGAGGACACUUGGUGAACUGAAACAUCUAAGUAACCAAGGUAAAGAAAUCAAAUUCGUCUUAUGACGAUAUAGAGAUUCCCUUAGUAGUGGCGAGCGAAAAGGGAAUAGCCUAAACUUUCCCGCAUUGCGGGAGAGGGUUGCAGGACUCCAAUAUGGAUAUAUUUCCUAUUAAUCGAAUGUCUCUGGGAAGAGCGGCGAAACAGGGUAAAAGCCCCGUAGAUAAAAAUAGGUUUAAAUCCUAGGAUGUUCCUAAGUAGGGUCGGACACGUGUAAUCCGGCUUGAAUCUGGGAGGACCACCUUCCAAGGCUAAAUAGAUCUCGAGAGCGAUAGCGAACUAGUACCGUGAGGGAAAGGUGAAAAGCACCCCGGUUAGGGGGAUGAAAUAGAACCUGAAACUCUAUGCCUAAAUAAAAUCGGAGCUCCGCUUCGGCGGAGUGACGGUGUACUUUUUGUAGAACGGACCAACGAGUUAGUUGUAUGCGGCAAGGUUAACUCCUUAUUUGGAGGUAAUCGUAGCGAAAGCAAGUCUUCACCGGCGAAUAGUCGCAUGCACUAGACCCGAAUCCGGGUGAGCUACCCAUGAGCAGGCUGAACCUCGAGUAAAAUCGAGGGAAGGGCCGAACCCACCGUUAUUGCAAGAGCGGGGGAUGACUUGUGGGUAGAGGAGAAAUUCCAAUCGAACCCGGGGAUAGCUGGUUCUCUCCGAUAUAGCUUUAGGGCUAGCCUCGAUUUUAUAGCACUGGGGGUAGAGCUCUAUUUAGACUAGGGGACAAAAUAAGUCUACCAAAUCUAGAUAAACUUCGAAUACCGGUGUGCAUUAAUCGGGAGUCAGUCAGUGACAGCUAAGUGCCAUUGACAUGAGGGGAACAGCCCAGACCGACGUCUAAGGUCCCUAAUAGAACUUAAGUGGCAAAGGAUGUGGGAUUGUUUAUACAGCCAGGAUGUUUGCUUAGAAGCAGCAAUCAUUUAAAGAGUGCGUAACAGCUCACUGGUCUAUGUGAUCCCGCGCCGAAAAUACAACGGGGCUCAAAGUUCUAACCGAAGACACGGGUCCUUCUCGCAUUUAUGCGAGAAAUGGGCGGUAGGAGAGCGUUCUCAGCAGCAAUGAAGGUCAAUCGUAAGGUUGGCUGGAGCGCUGAGAAGUGAAAAUGUUGGUAUAAGUAGCGUAAAGUCAGGUGAAAACCCUGGCCACCGAAAAUCUCAGGUUUCCCAAGCCACGUCAGUCGACUUGGGGUUAGUCGGUCCUAAGGUGUAGCUGAAAGGCGAAGCUGAUGGACGACAGGUUAAUAUUCCUGUACAACUUGUAUUUCGCCAGAGCAAUACUGGAACACGGCAUUUUUUCAAAGUUUCUGAAGACUUCGGUUGGAUGAAGCCUAGAAAUUUGCCAAGUGAAGGUGGCGCUAGCUAAGGAGUGACGCUUUUGGAUAAUCAGAGCAGAUUAAUGAAUUUCUGUGCAAUCUCUAAGUUUAUGUUCCUAUAGGUAAAUCCGUAGGGAUUCGCGAGGAGUGACGCAAAUUCUGUCCUUUGUGACGGAAGAUUCUGAUGAUUUCGGGAGCCAAGAAAACCUUCGUAGCGAGAAAUGCAAGUUACCGUACCGCAAACCGACACUGGUAGAUAGGUUGAGUAUACCAAGGUGGAUGAGACAACUCUCGUUAAGGAACUCGGCAAAACAGCAGGCGUAACUUCGGGAUAAGCCUUGCCAAAUCAGGUCGUAGUUUCGAUUAUGAUUAUGAUUUGGCCGCAGUUAAAGAACUCAUGCAACUGUUUAUCAAAAACACAGGUCUCUGCUAAACCGUAAGGUGAAGUAUAGGGGCUGACGCUUGCCCAGUGCCAGAAGGUCACGAGGAGAGGUUAACGCCUUGAAUCUAAGCCCUGGUGAACGGCGGCCGUAACUAUAACGGUCCUAAGGUAGCGAAAUUCCUUGUCGGGUAAGUUCCGACCCGCACGAAAAGCGUAAUGAUAUGAGUACUGUCUCAACGAGAGACUCAGCGAAAUUACAGAGACGGUAAAAAUGCCGUUUAACCACAGUAAGACGAAAAGACCCCGUGCAGCUUUACUAUAGCUUGGCAUUGAGUCGAGAUUUAUCUUGUGCAGGAUAGGUGGGAGACUUUGAAGUCCCGACGUUAGUCGGGAUGGAGUCGACGUUGAGAUACCACCCUGGAUAUAUUUUGGUUCUAACCUUCCUUUUUUGGAGGGGACAGUGUUUGGUGGGUAGUUUGACUGGGGCGGUCGCCUCCCAAAGAGUAACGGAGGCGCGCGAUGGUUCCCUAGGCCUGGAUGGAAAUCAGGCUGAUAGUGUAUUCGCAUAAGGGAGCUUGACUGCAAGACCAACAAGUCGAGCAGGUACGAAAGUAGGCGAAAGUGAUCCGGUAGUAGGACGUGGGUCCGCUAUCGCUCAACGGAUAAAAGUUACGCCGGGGAUAACAGGCUAGUUGCUUCCAAGAGUUCACAUCGACGAAGCAGUUCGGCACCUCGAUGUCGGCUCGUCGCAUCCUGGGGGUGGAGAAGCUCCCAAGGGUUUGGCUGUUCGCCAAUUAAAGCGGUACGCGAGCUGGGUUCAAAACGUCGUGAGACAGUUUGGCCUCUAUCUACUGUGGUUGAAGGAAAUUUGAGGGAUGCUGUCCACAGUACGAGAGGACCUGGAUGGACGAACCUCUAGUAUACCUGUUGUCGCGUCAGCGGCAGUGCAGGGUAGCUAUGUUCGGAACGGAUAACCGCUGAAAGCAUCUAAGUGGGAAACCGCUCCCAAGAAAGAUUUCCCUAUGAACCUGCCCGUAGACUACGGGUUUGAUAGGCCACAGGUGUAAGUACAGAGAUGUAUUGAGCCGAGUGGUACUAACAGGUCACUGAUUUAUUUGU